GAUGAACUUUCCUGCAAGAGAGUCUUAACUACUGAACUUAUCUCUGGAAUUCCAAUUGAUAAGGUGGCAUUACUAAACCAAGAAACUCGUAAUUAUGUUGGGACAAAGUUGUUAGAACUUACAUUGAUGGAGUUAUUUGUCUUCCGAUUCAUGCAGACUGAUCCUAAUUGGAGUAAUUUCCUGUAUGAUGAGGCCACAAAAACUGUUAAUCUCAUCGACUUUGGAGCAGCGCGGGAUUAUCGUAAAAGAUUUGUUGAUGACUAUUUAAGAAUGGUCGUAGCAUGUGCAAAUAGUGAGAGGGAUGCAGUGAUUGAGAUGUCAAGAAGACUUGGGUUCCUUACUGGAAUGGAGUCAGAGAUAAUGUUAGACGCUCAUGUUCAAGCUGGUUUGAUUGUGGGAUUGCCAUUCUCUAAGCCAAGCGGAUUUGAUUUCCGAUCCACCAACAUUACCCAAAGUGUUACAAAUCUUGGUGCUACAAUGCUUAAGCACAGGCUCACACCACCACCGGAAGAGUCUUACAGCCUUCAUAGAAAGCUUUCA
rnacentral:misc_RNA from 1 species